rnacentral:sRNA from 1 species
ACAAAGACUGUUUUACCUUUUGCGGGUGGUGCUA